UACGUAGGGGGCAAGCGUUGUCCGGAUUUAUUGGGCGUAAAGAGCGUGUAGGCGGCCAGAUAGGUCAGCUGUGAAAACUCGAGGCUCAACCCUGGGAUGCCGGUGGAUACUGCAGGGCUAGAGUACGGAAGAGGCGAGUGGAAUUCCCGGUGUAGCGGUGAAAUGCGCAGAUAUCGGGAGGAACACCUAUUGCGAAGGCAGCUCGCUGGGACGUUACUGACGCUGAGACGCGAAAGCGUGGGGAGCAAACAGG
rnacentral:rRNA from 1 species